CCGGUGUUUUCCUGAAGCAGCGGGUUUUGCUAGUAUGGGCUUCCUUGUAGCCACCUGCUCAGGCCCUUGUGAGUGAGCCCUAAACUCCUAGGAUGAUGGGGAUAGGGGCGCACUCUUGAGGCCAGAUCCCUGCCAGCUUUGAUAAAUGGCGUAAGGUCCCAGGGUUCCCCGUGUCAUGGACGACAACCUUGAGUUUCUCAGCCUCCAAAGGGUUUCACACCUGGGUCUCACGAUGGUUCGGUAUUCCUUCCAUCACAGAGUUACUUAGUAGCAAAAGUGCUCAUCCAGUCUGCAUGCCUGGCCGUCAAGAAGAUUAAUACGGCCCUUCAAAGACUUGGAUGGAUUUGUGGACCCUGCCGUCCUUGAAACCACAGUAUCUGAAAUUCCAGCUGCCUGGGAGCUUCUCAGAGGGUUCAAGCCUACAUCCCCAGAACCUGAGAAGCAGUUCCUCCUCCAACGAGACUGGGAUCCCCUGGGAGGUAACGAGUCCCAAGUUCAUCGUGGUCUCCUUUGUGAGGCCUGAGCCUGAGUUCUGCAUCCAGUGGCCCGUUCCACAGGGAGGACCUUCAUGAGCGUCCCACUCAGCAUCUCUAAUCACUCUAUUUUGGUUUUAGUUUUUCAAGACAAGGAUUCCUUGUGUCAGCCCUGGCCAUCCUGGAACUUGCUCCGUAGACCAAGCUGGCCUUGAACUCAGAAAUCUGCCUCUGCCUCCAGAGUGCUGGAUUAAAGGUGUGCACCACCAUCCUGCC
rnacentral:lncRNA from 1 species